UACGUAGGGGGCUAGCGUUGUCCGGAAUCAUUGGGCGUAAAGAGCGUGUAGGCGGCCCGGUAAGUCCGCUGUGAAAGUCGGGGGCUCAACCCUCGAAUGCCGGUGGAUACUGUCGGGCUAGAGUGCGGAAGAGGCGAGUGGAAUCCCUGGUGUAGCGGUGAAAUGCGUAGAUAUCUGGAGGAACACCGGUGGCGAAGGCGGCAUCCUGGACCGGUAUUGACGCUGAGGCGCGAAAGCCAGGGGAGCAAACGGG
rnacentral:rRNA from 1 species